UUCUGCUGCUUCAAAAUAUAUCUUCCCAAUGCAUACUUUUGCUGCUUCAUGUUCUUUUUCUGUCCCUUUUUUUCUCUUUCUCGAUUUCCUUCUCUUUCUCAUUCUCACCUUCAUUCAUUUUCUUCUUCUUAUUCUCUUUCUUUCUCAUUUAUUUCACUCAUCCUUCUUCUUUCCAUAUUUUAAUUUGUUGUCUUCAAAUAAAUUUGGGAAUACAUUUCAGAUUAGGCUUUUUAUAAAUUUAUCUAUUUUCUUCUUCAACUUUCAUUUUUAAUCAAUAUCUUAUUCGACCAUUUUUAACUUUUUUUUGCUUAUUCUAUUGCAGGUUAUAAAUUUGUCUUUCCCCUUGAUAUGAUGCUUUCAUUAGGUAAUCUUGCUUUGAAAAUAAAAAAGAUGGAAGCGGAAGAAAAAUAUUUGAUUUUCAAUUGAAGCUCUAAGGAGUACAUUCAUGGAGUAGUAUUGAGAUUUAGAUAAGCUUGAUAUUGAAAUUGCAACUCAUAAUUAAAUAAUUUUACAUUUAAUAUUCAUAUUCAAAUCUACAAAAAUAUUGUGGACAAACCUUUGAAUGUGCAUAGUUAUGGAGUUAUAGAGUAAUUUACAUUGUAUAAUUUUUUUGCCAUUGACCUGACUAAUAUGUAGAGAGAUUAAUGGGAGCUUGAACCAUAAUGAUAUAUGUGCAGUUGAAGAGUCUGACCUGUGUUGGAAGAAGUUUGAAGUAUAUAAAUAUGAGCUUAUUUAUCUUACUCUGAUUUUUGUUCAAAUUAUAUGUGCAUAUUGUUAUAUUAUGGAGUUGUUUGCAUUUCUGAUGUUACUCUUCUUAUCCCACAAUAUUCUGUUAUUGUGAUAGAAGAUCUCUAAAGGACGAAAUGGAAGAGAAACAAAAAAAAAGGAUAA